rnacentral:rRNA from 1 species
GCAGUAGCCGCGGGAAUACCAGCAGCCCAAGUGGUGGUCGCGUUUAUUGGGCCUAAAGCGCUCGUAGCCUGACCGGUAAGUUCCCCGUGAAAUCGGGUCGCCCAACGAUUCGGCUUGCGGGGAAUACUGUCGGUCUUGGGGCCGGGAGACGCCGAGGGUACUCCGGGGGUAGCGGUGAAAUGCUGUAAUCCUCGGGGGACUACCAGUGGCGAAGGCGCUCGGCGAUAACGGGCCUGACGGUGAGGGGCGGAAGCUGGGGGCGCGAACGGGAUUAGAUACCCGCGUAGUCCCUGUCUCUUAUA